rnacentral:rRNA from 1 species
GCUGCGCACUACUGACUGGUGACAAUUCACGGUAAGAGGUUCCCCGUAUUCGAACGAGAGUAGUCAUCUCCGUGGUUGGUUUCGUUUUCGUUACCGUGGAGCGGAGGGUACCGCCAAGGAGGUCAAGAACGAUGAUGACGACCCCCGAAGUAGACGACGAGUUCGUGUCCACUUGUAGUGGGACCCGAGGAGGAACUGCGGGGUCCCUGGUUUGUCGAGUACCGAGAGUGGGAGGCCGCUGAAGCGCAAGCCAAAGGUCGGUUACCUUCCAUUGUGGAGGAGCAUGGAGGAACGGCAGACCAAGCUGUUCUAGGGACUUCUGACAGCGAACCAUACGGUUCUCGUCAGUUCUGUGUGACCACGUUCACGGUAGGUCGAGACACGAGGUCGAGUGUUGACUACCCAACGAGAGCGAAGCGUUGGGUAGAUUGCUACUCCAGACCUCAGGGGCCCAGUGACCACGCCGGAUGCGGUCGUACGAACUGUGUCCGCUGAAGUCCGAACAGCCACGUCUACCGUUUGGUUUCACCUUCUGGAAACUAAAGGGCCGACUAUGGUAGGACGGGUGUGUUCACGAAGGACACCCAGUCGUCCUAUUCCAUGAAUCUUCGGCAGAGUAGCGGUGCCUAAUGCGGUUACCGGCCAAAGAGGAUCGACACGUUAGACUACCAUUAGAGCACAAGAUAGGUCAACGGCUCGGAUGGUGUUUUGCCAUGCUACGUAUGACCCGUAGACCAUGUCUACCCUUACCGAGUUUCAACCACAAGUUACUUUGACCGUCCUAUAUGAAGUGUUGGUGUUUACCCUGUGUCUAGUUAUAGUGAAGUCGUCCCCACUUAAGUUACCCACUAAUGAAGUUAGCACGGUGCGAACUGGGUCUGCCACAUAAAGCCGUUAUACAGAUGGGUUUCUCGUCUGUCCGGCGUUCUAAUACCCCGAACGUUACCUGUCGCCACUUGAGUCAAGGGGUCUUGUAGACGGUCCACUAUUACCGUUUGUUACGGCCGUCACCCCGUACACCGAAGUUGUCAAUGACGUCGAAACUACCGUGGGUCCUAGUCUGUUGUUAUACGGUUACGGGUCUGGUAAUGUUCAAGAAACUGCUCCUCUCUUUUAUGUUUCCCACGUCCGGUCUGAAACUUGGUGUUUCGACACUGGACUUACUCCUUCGUCGCCUUCGGGUCAAACUCUACUGAGUCUAACUAUUACAACUGACCGGAGAUCGGCUGAUACUCCUCAUGUCGGGGUAUCUAGACUGACUUAUGGCCUCUGACACAUAUUAACUAACGAAGACACGGUGUCGGCAGAAAGUACGUUCGUGUUUAUGGACGACCUUCUUUUUCGAGGGAAAUAGUUUACCCUUUUACCGCCUUUCGCAUCUGUCCUACCAAGAAUAGUUCCACGCAUCCUCGUUGUUAUGUGUCAGCGUCGAGUCGUCACCGAGAUCGUUUACCUUUUUCCUCUUCUUCAUAACCUAAGAACCCUCAAGUAACAAAAAACCCUCAAGACAUAACGAUUUGGAAGAUGAAUAGAGAUAAGACAAGAAACCGUGAAUAACGCCAUAGAGGUAGUGGAGGUUCUUCUUUGAGGUCAGUGGUGUUAGCAGUCCAUCAAGAUAUAACGGGGGUUUCUAAAAGUGAAUGUUACUUGACCUCUUCCGGUGGCCACCAAAGGUACUCCACGAACCGUCGCCACGGAGACCAUGGCACAUGUUUCCUGUCGACGUUCUACUCGUACGCUGGUCGUAGCGGCAGUUCUUUUAACCUUUCGAGGUCGUUCUCUGACUCUUCCUCAAGUACCACCUUCACGUUUGGUAGCCCGUCUGUAAAGUGUUCUUGAACCAGUCCGACGAACCAAAGACGUUACUCCCUUGACUGUCUGACGAACAUAUACUCAAGUACUGGUUACCGAGCGACUUGCUCAAGGAGAAACCACUACGAGCCGGUGUAACCUCAGAGGCACACGUUCAACGUGAACCUCACCGUGCUCCCGACGAGAUGAACGUGCUCCUCACGUCGUGUGUCUAAUAGGUGACGCUGUAUUUUGGUGUCUUGUAGGAAGAGCUGCUGUUGAAAUACCGCUUCUAACGUCUGAAACCGGACCGCUUCGAAGAAGCUCGGUUGGUCUGUGUCUGUUUGUGGCCGUAGGCCCCAUGAGCUCCAAUGCAACGGGGUCUCACCAAGUUCUUGUAUCCCUAGUGGAGGUUUCAGCUACAAAUGUCGAAACCACACUAGGACGAACUCGAACACACGACGUCCUCCUUACACCUCCAUCUUUAGCUGCUACUUCUCGUCCGCUAUGAUUGAAUGACCCGUUUGCUGACAAUGUCCAGACCCUCCUAGCUGAACGACCACCUUCCGCUGCUACUCCGUUUGAAGUUGUAUUUUUUCCGUCUCGCUAAGCACCGACAGCGGGAAACCACGGAGGUCCUCCUCGGCUGAUACGCCGGUUGGUACGAAUUUCACUGUGUCUACGAACUACCUCGUCACGUCUAGGGGUGCGGAGGCCUAGGGAGAAGGAAGUAGUCAAGUGAAGGUAUCACUGGACGAACAAUUGUUUAUACAUUCAACAUCGUACUUCGUUCUAAUACGUUAUGCGUCUAUUAGACUAUGACAAAAGAUAACUUCGAAGUCUUUAUUACCGUUUAUAUCAUAAAGUCUUAAUUACGUGAAUACAAAUCGACUUGUUUAUCGUAGUGACUACGUAGACAUAGAAAAGAAAAAAACAUUUUGUAGACAUAGAAGAAAAGCAUUACGUAGACAUAUAGAUAAAUAUACGAAU